rnacentral:rRNA from 1 species
GUACACUCCUACGGGAGGCAGCAGUGGGGAAUUUUGGACAAUGGGCGAAAGCCUGAUCCAGCAAUGCCGCGUGAGUGAAGAAGGCCUUCGGGUUGUAAAGCUCUUUUGUCAGGGAAGAAACGGUGAAAGCUAAUAUCUUUUGCUAAUGACGGUACCUGAAGAAUAAGCACCGGCUAACUACGUGCCAGCAGCCGCGGUAAUACGUAGGGUGCAAGCGUUAAUCGGAAUUACUGGGCGUAAAGCGUGCGCAGGCGGUUUUGUAAGUCUGAUGUGAAAUCCCCGGGCUCAACCUGGGAAUUGCAUUGGAGACUGCAAGGCUAGAAUCUGGCAGAGGGGGGUAGAAUUCCACGUGUAGCAGUGAAAUGCGUAGAUAUGUGGAGGAACACCGAUGGCGAAGGCAGCCCCCUGGGUCAAGAUUGACGCUCAUGCACGAAAGCGUGGGGAGCAAACAGGAUUAGAUACCCGGGUAGUCC